UGGGGAAUAUUGCACAAUGGGGGAAACCCUGAUGCAGCGACGCCGCGUGAGCGAAGAAGUAUCUCGGUAUGUAAAGCUCUAUCAGCAGGGAAGAAAAUGACGGUACCUGACUAAGAAGCACCGGCUAAAUACGUGCCAGCAGCCGCGGUAAUACGUAUGGUGCAAGCGUUAUCCGGAUUUACUGGGUGUAAAGGGAGCGUAGACGGAGAAGCAAGUCUGGAGUGAAAACCCGGGGCUCAACCCCGGGACUGCUUUGGAAACUGUUUUUCUAGAGUGCCGGAGAGGUAAGCGGAAUUCCUAGUGUAGCGGUGAAAUGCGUAGAUAUUAGGAGGAAUACCAGUGGCGAAGGCGGCUUACUGGACGGUAACUGACGUUGAGGCUCGAAAGCGUGGGGAGCAAACA
rnacentral:rRNA from 1 species